AGGGGCUUCUGGGUUUUCUUGGCUUUUAUCCUAUUUCCUUGGUACCGGCGCGAUGCGUCGGUAGGGUGCUGAUGCUUAGUGGAGGUGCCCCGACUUUUGGGUCCCUGAUGCAGCGGGAGCUAGAAAAAAGGGGUUUUUUUCCAAGCUUUCUCCCUCUCUCUGCUUUAACGCCUCCUGGGAGCAGAGGGCUCUAGCAGGAGUACCCAGGAGCAGAAACCUGUGAGACUUUCAGAUGCAAACGGUUAGGGCCGCGUAAAUACGCGUGCAAGUCCGCUUUAAAGUUGAGCAGCCGAGUCUUUCAGGCCCAGGACGUGAAAGAGGCCCGUAGUCAACCGCUGAGGCCUUCUGCUUUCCAUGUUGCUACUUAAAGCCGUGCCACAGUCCAGCUCAUCACAGAAAUAACUGAGGCCACGCCGCUCCUGUUUGUAGAGCCGCUGAGCCAGGGAGCGUUUCUGUGCUGAUACGGUUAGAAUAAUAUCAGUAUUCUCCUAGUAAUAGCAACCGAUCUAAAAUAACUUUUGGUUUAUUUGCCAGCGCAAACACUUUCUCCUUGCUACUCUGCUGACCUCAAGCCAACGUCGGGGAGACUCGUCUCAGCGGUGGGCUGCACCGUGCUUUUGGCAGCGCCACCGCUGAACGCCAGUACAGUUGUGUGCUGGGAGUACGAAAAUGGCCCUCACGAAGGAAUCAUCCUCAAGUAUUAUCUCAAUAAGCCCGUAAACACCGCUCCUUCCUACCAAAACCGCACAAAGUUCAACGAAACGGAUUUCUCUCUGCAAAUGGUGCUGCAGCUGGGAGACAGCGGGAGGUACCGCUUUGCAACAGAGGCACAGCAAACGGACUGGUUCCAGCUGGAAGCCAUCGAACCACUGCCUGCGCCGGAAAUCGUGGGCAACUCCUCUGUGAAAGCAGGAGGCAACGCUAAACUGGUCUGCAGCAUCCCAGAAGGGAAGGCAGACUCCUACUGGUGGAAGAAGAACGGAGAGCUGCUGCUUGGGAGUGACCAUUUGCAGUUCAUUCAAAACAACACGUUGCUCAUCACCGAAGCGACAAUGAAUGACAGCGGCUACUACACUUGUGUGGUCCGCAACGAAGUCAGCCAGAAUGAAACCUCCUUCCUGCUUCGUGUUCUGAAUGCUGCAAACAUGAUCUUUCCUGUGAUCAUGGCGUGCGUUGUCGUUGGCUCUCUAAUAGGUGAGUGUUGCGAUUCACUCUUGACCACGUUUUUUUGGCUUACUGUGUUAUCACUGGUGGGUACUACAGCAGAUACUGCAAGCAAGAAGGGAUGGGGUGAGUGA
ensembl:lncRNA HEPACAM family member 2-like